UACAGAGGUCUCAAGCGUUGUUCGGAUUCAUUGGGCGUAAAGGGUGCGUAGGCGGCGCGGUAAGUCGGGUGUGAAAUCUCGGGGCUUAACUCCGAAACUGCAUUCGAUACUGCCGUGCUUGAGGACUGGAAAGGAGACUGGAAUUUACGGUGUAGCGGUGAAAUGCGUAGAUAUCGUAAGGAAGACCAGUGGCGAAGGCGGGUCUCUGGGACGGUACUGACGCUGAGACGCGAAAGCGUGGGGAGCGAACAGG
rnacentral:rRNA from 1 species